rnacentral:rRNA from 1 species
CGCGAUUCGCCCUUCGGGGUGCGCAGGCGCGAAAACUUUACAAUGCGGGAAACCGUGAUAAGGGGACACCGAGUGCCAGCAUCAUAUGCUGGCUGUCCAGGUGUGUAAAAUACACCUGUUAGCAAGGGCCGGGCAAGACCGGUGCCAGCCGCCGCGGUAACACCGGCGGCCCGAGUGGUGAUCGUGAUUAUUGGGUCUAAAGGGUCCGUAGCCGGUUUGGUCAGUCCUCCGGGAAAUCUGAUAGCUUAACUAUUAGGCUUUCGGAGGAUACUGCCAGACUUGGAACCGGGAGAGGUAAGAGGUACUACAGGGGUAGGAGUGAAAUCUUGUAAUCCCUGUGGGACCACCUGUGGCGAAGGCGUCUUACCAGAACGGGUUCGACGGUGAGGGACGAAAGCUGGGGGCACGAACCGGAUUAGAUACCCGGGUAGUCCCAGCCGUAAACGAUGCUCGCUAGGUGUCAGGCAUGGCGCGACCGUGUCUGGUGCCGCAGGGAAGCCGUGAAGCGAGCCACCUGGGAAGUACGGCCGCAAGGCUGAAACUUAAAGGAAUUGGCGGGGGAGCAC